rnacentral:lncRNA from 1 species
ACUAAGUUCAAUCAGACAAACAAACUCAACGUGGAUCAUGCACUCACUUAUUGUGAAACCCACAUCUGAACCGAGGAUAGGUUCAGUCAUUUUUUUUAGCUAAGCAUAACACCCCUUUCUACUACAUCGAACGAAAAUACAGCAGAUCCAUAAAGUUACCAAAACAGAAAAGAGCAAUGACUGCCAGCUUUCACCUAUGGAAGAGACGUUCGCCUUGGAUACAGGUUCAGUCAUCAACAUAAGAAGCAGCGAAAUAUAUACACGAGGUAAACUGCCCAAGAUAGGCACACUAUAUGCGUGAGGCUUGAGCACAUCAUUAUUGCAGCGGUCCUGAGCAACACCGUUGGAACAAAAAUUAACUUAUCACGCUAACACAAUCACACUUCCCCGUAAGUUGCGAGGCUGCGAGAGCACGACAGAUGCAUGGACGCCGGCAGCACGCGUCUUCAGCCCUUGCAAGCGAACAGGCCGGUGCACACCUCGUGGAANNNN